UAGUUAGUUUUAAUUUUUUUGUUUUUUACUUUUUAUGUUUAAGAAGUAAAAACUAUAAGCAAACUAUGGAUAUCCAAUAAAGCUUUUUUUUUUAUAAACAACUUGUAUCCAUUAGAUUUAUUUAUGCGGAAUAAAAUACACUACAAAAAAAAUACACCCUAAAAAAGUUCGAUGUAUCGAUACAUCAAUGUUUUUUUCUGAAAAACAUCGAAACAAAGAUGUAGGUAAACAUCAAUGUUUUUACAGCUCUACUUGGAUAUUAAUUUGUGUUUGUUUUUAGAAGAAAAGAUUCCAAUUCCACCAUUCCAAAUUUAUCCGUUUCCAGUUGUAAAGAAAAAUAAAAUUUUCUACGUUCUAAUAAACCGUGUUCCACAUUCCAAGUGUUCCAAUCGUAAAUCAGGUGGACCUGAUUACCAUAAAUUACCGGUCGUUUAUACAAUUCGCUGUUCACUCCAAGUUAGCUGUGCAAUUAGGCCAAACUACGACGUUCAUACUUAGUAAAUUUUACACCACUGAACGAAAUUGGAUUUUCAACCCUUUUUCUGCAAUUAAAAGGAAUGGAAAUUUUGUACUUAUCUUGUAAUUUGUUCGCUGGUGGACAAAAAUGAAAGCUCAGGUGAUCCCGCCCGAAUGAAUCAAAAAUGUUGGGUGCUGGGCUUGGCUGGCCUGGAAUUUUCCAAAUAUGCUGAAAUAGAAACACUGGAACAGGCGAACACUUCACUUGUAGUAAUUGCGCGGGCGCGACCCCGCUACAAAAAAAUGGAUCGAAGAACCUAUUGUGUGAAAUAAAAAUGUGGUUGUAAAUCCUCUGCAUUGUUAUAGAUUGAUCGAUUUCAAUAUGGUUCUGGAAUAGCUGAUUGACGGACCAAACUUGAUGGUUGCAGAAUUCCCGCAAGUGGCAAACUCCGGAUGAGACGGACCAUACAUGGCAGCGCACAUCUUCUUCAUUUCCGGCGGAAUUUACUCAAAAAAAUUAAAAUAUGUAAUUAAAAUUGUAAUAAAAUAUCCACCAAUAUAGAACAUG